rnacentral:rRNA from 1 species
AUUGAACGCUGGCGGCAUGCUUUACACAUGCAAGUCGAACGGACUUAGGUGCUUGCACCUAGGUUAGUGGCGAACGGGUGAGUAAUGCAUCGGAACGUACCGUGUAAUGGGGGAUAACGCAGCAAAAGUUGUGCUAAUACCGCAUACGAUCUACGGAUGAAAGCAGGGGAUCGCAAGACCUUGCGUUAUACGAGCGGCCGAUGUCGGAUUAGCUAGUUGGUAGGGUAAAGGCCUACCAAGGCAACGAUCCGUAGCGGGUCUGAGAGGAUGAUCCGCCACACUGGGACUGAGACACGGCCCAGACUCCUACGGGAGGCAGCAGUGGGGAAUUUUGGACAAUGGGCGCAAGCCUGAUCCAGCCAUGCCGCGUGAGUGAAGAAGGCCU